GAUGAACGCUAGCGGCAGGCCUACCACAUGCAGGUCGAGGGGUAACUAGAGUGAUAGCAAUAUUACUUUGGCUAGACCGGCGCACGGGUGCGUAACACGUAUGCAACCUACCUUAUACUGGGGAAUAACUUCGAGAAAUCGGCGCUAAUACCCCAUAACAUUGCGAAGAGGCAUCUCUUUGCAAUUAAAGCUCCGGCGGUAUAAGAUGGGCAUGCGUCCAAUUAGCUAGUUGGUGAGGUAACGGCUCACCAAGGCUACGAUUGGUAGGGGUUCUGAGAGGAUGAUCCCCCACACUGGUACUGAGACACGGACCAGACUCCUACGGGAGGCAGCAGUGAGGAAUAUUGCGCAAUGGACGAAGGUCUGACGCAGCCAUGCCGCGUGCAGGAUGACGGCCCUAUGGGUUGUAAACUGCUUUUGUACGGGAAUAAACCCAUCUACGUGUAGGAGGCUGAAGGUACCGUAAGAAUAAGCACCGGCUAACUCCGUGCCAGCCGCCGCAGUAACAC
rnacentral:rRNA from 1 species